rnacentral:lncRNA from 1 species
ACACAAGGUUUUAUGCAUUGGUAGCAUGCUGGCAGAAUGCAGGUAAUAAAUGGUAGACACUUCUGUGUCAGCAGGAAGGAGGGACUUGUGGAUACCCAGUGAAUGUCAGGUAGUUUGGACCUUCUUUAUCCUUUGGGGUAGUUGUCCUGGCUGUUGUGGCAGAUGUCCCUUUUCCUGAUUAAUAAACAAAGUUGAUUUUACUCACAUUUGUUCUUGGCUCCUACCUCACAACAGGUGGCCAGUCAGGCUGCAGUCGACUCUGCAACUGCUGGCUGUCAGGAGCUUUGAGAGCCUUCUGUUACGAUUAAAGCACAGUUUAGAGGAAACUUAGGGUAAUUAGCUGAGCUUCUACGGUUUGCGCAAACUUACUUGUGAGCUAAGAUAGAGUCUGGUGACUCUGAAUAUAAUUUUUUCCCCUUCUGUGUUAACACACUUGGUUGCAGUGGACCAGAUUCAGCAACAUAACAAGCAUUUACUGGUGGGUAGCUAAGCAUUAUUCUACACGUGUCUGUUUUGAGUCUUAGGGAGAAUAGAAAUAUUAGUUUUCCAAAGUCUACUGGCUCUUACAUAGAUAUGAUCCAGAGGGUAAGGAACGAAAAGACGAUGGGACUUUUUUUGAAGGAGUCAAUGAAUUGCUACUGGUUUCGUUCAUGGUAGAUAGGCUAGCUCAUUGAGUACAGCUCAGUUUGACAAAGCAGAAACCAAGAAUGAAUCCAGAGAAGGCAAUAUGCCCACUUGCCUCAAAAACCUGGCAUUGUACUGAGUUCAAAGAACCUAACUCUUAUCACCACUGUCUUCCUUCACCAUAAGAUGGUCUUCUAGGACUUGAGUUCCACCUGACCCUGAAGCCUGCCAUCCCAGCAGGUGAUUUAAUGAGUAGCCUUCCAAAUCACAGAGAGGCUCACUGUACUUUGGCACAGGGACAGAGGCUAAGCUGGAGAAUAUAAGCCCAGGGAUUCUUAGCCUGUGUCAUCUCGGAGAUGCCCCUGCUCCUGUAGGCUGGUGGUGGAGCAGCCGUGAGCGUAUCCCUAAGUUCUACUGAGCCAUGAUGCAGGCCCCUGAGCUCUACAGAGACUGGGGUUAGAAGCUCUGCUCUAUCUUUCCUUGCCAGUGACAAAUGUGUAAAUUAUGAAACCCUUGUAGUCAUGUGUUUGUUCAUCUCCAAGAAGAAAAUUGCAUUUGCUACAUAUAGGUCAUAUACACAAAAAUAUACCUUGAAUAGGAGCUGUCAUAUGGCAAAGUGUCAUCCAUGCAUAUGUCUGUCUGUCUGACUGUCUCUGUCUCUGUCUCUGUCUCUGUCUGUCUGUCUGUCUCUCUCUCUGUGGUGCAUGUGUGUAUACAUACAUACAUACAUACAUAUAUAUACAUAUAUAUAUAUAAAAUAAAAUUUAAUGUCUAUAAUAUGGUACAACAGUAAUUUUCUAAGCAAAGGAAACAAUCAUUAUAUCGUUUUAGGAUACUUGUAUGAAAAUGACAUACAGAUAUAAAAAUAUUUUUUCAUAACCACAGCACAAAACUACCAUGAAUAUUUUCUUACUUUGCUUUGCUUGUUGUAAUAAAUUUUACUCUUUAAAAGUUUUAAUUUUGGGCUAGAGAGAGAGCUCAGCAGUUAAGAGUACUGGCUGCUGGGAUCCAAAUGCCGUUCCUUCUAGCUCCAAGGGAUGUGACAGCCUUUUCUGACCUUCUCCUCUACCCACAUACACUUUGCCAUAUGUUCUGUAGACAGACAGACAGAAACACACACACACACACACACACACACACACACACACAGUUAAAUACUGAUAAAAUAAAUUUUUAAAAAAUUAACUGUACACAACUUUUCCUCAGAAUAAUUUUUUUUCUAGUACCUUCUCUCUACUACCUUAGUGCUCUGUGAACAGCACUCAAAUUUAGUAAUCUUUAGUUUAUCAAUUGGCUGUUUAGUUUAUUAUUUAUUAAUUUAUUAUUUGUUUAAUCAUAAAUAUUAUUCUUGUAUUCCCUUUCUGAUUUCUAGGGCCAUGACAAAGAGCAACAUGCUGUAUGUUAAUUCUUUAUCUGUUCAUCGCACAAAUACAACUUGAAACAGUAACACUUAUGCAAAUCCUUCCUUCAGCCUAGGAAUUUUUAAUUUCCAUAUUUUAAAUUAGCCUGCUUUCAGUUCAAUGAUUUUGUUGAAUCUUAUAAAUAUGUGGCAGAUGCUCUUUAGCUAAAUUUAAACAUUAGGAAUAAUUAUUAUCAAAGCAGUGCCCUGUAUAGACCAUUCUGUGAACCAUAGGAGAGUCAUUAUUCAAAAAGAGAAGGAAUUUCUUGUGAAAAAAAAAAAAAAACCAUGUCUUUGAGCUAUAGAUUUUGAAAAGAAAGACCCUAAAAUUAUUAUGAAAUCAAAUAAGCUGGAACUAUAAUUUCCAGCUGUGUUCUGAUGUACCUCGUGCUGUUUGAUACUGCUACAUAAAUGAAGCCAUCACGGUCAAGCAUUUAAAUGCAAAUUUAUAGUUCUAAAUGUUCCUCUUUGUUGGUACUGCUCUGUUUAAGCCUGGAAUCCCCAUGGGAUUUAUCACAAUUUUGAGUAGCCUUUGAAAUGGAAACUUUUGAUGGAAACAGAAGAUAGAGAUGGUGUGAUUCAGGAAACUCAAGAAACAUAGACUCUUUCCCAGAUCCCAGUAACCAAAGCAAAGCCGGGCAGAAAUGAUCCUUCUCUUCCAGGUGACAGGAAUCAGAGGUCUCUGUAGGUCCAGACAGGACGUAUACGACCUGAAAGGUCAAGUUGGGCAGGAAGUGGAGAAAGAAAGUCAGACCAAUAAGUAGAUCGCCUAUCCUACUGAUAAGGGAUGUUUUCCCAAGAGGUUGGAAAGUCACGUGAGCAAGAAGCGAGCCCAUUUUUUGAGGGUUACCUUACUGUACCUUUUCCGGAGGACUGGUACAGGGCAGUAGGGCAGGUCCUGAAGACGUUUUCUGUAGCUUGCUGUCUUUCCUUGUCUGCAUCCGUAUAUCUGGUCAGGUAAAGCCUCUGAAACAGUGCGAGCAGAGCAAAUCACGUCAAUGAGAUCACACCAAGAAAAUCACAUCAAUGGGACACUUGGCAACGCCUUCUCUCAUAUACGUUUUCUCAAAGGCAUAGC